UUGACUCAUGAGCGGCAGUUGGUAUUUCGCAUACAAUCUCAUGGCUCUCCAAGUAAAUAGGGAAUCAUUUU
rnacentral:sRNA from 17 species